AACAGCACUCUAAGUGGUCACCCAUGGACCGUGAGUGGGGCUCGCCCGUACCCAUUAGAUCUAACCUUUGUUCCUUGGUCCUCAAAAGGAUUAAUGGCACCUCAGUUACAGCCUAUGCUCACAUGAUCUAAGAGUUCAUUCCAUAACUUAAUCAUACCUAAGUUUGACAUGUAUUUCCCCCCGAAAGUUGUAAACCGAAACGUUGAAAGAAAAGGGGGGACAUGAUCUCACUGAGUUGUCUCGUUUUUCGUACGCAGGCCAACCCAGUCCCGUUGUUGUAACUAGGACAUUCUCGUCUCUAGUCAUGAAAAUCAUGCACUUGAAAGCGUUGUCAAAUUUGUAAAUACAUGUAUUAUGAGUUUGCGUCAAAUGUAUAUUAAAAACAUUUGAAAGUUUUAGUGUUGUAAGUUGGUAUGAAAAGCGUCUAUGAACAUGUUGAUCAUUAAUGUUUCGCGAGGACAUUAAUAUAUGCGACGACAUAGGAGGUACUCAACCCGCGUAGGCAAUUUUUAGUGUCGAAUAACCUCGACUGGGACACAACAGCACUCUAAGUGGUCACCCAUGGACCGUGAGUGGGGCUCGCCCGUACCCAUUAGAUCUAACCUUUGUUCCUUGGUCCUCAAAAGGAUUAAUGGCACCUCAGUUACAGCCUAUGCUCACAUGAUCUAAGAGUUCAUUCCAUAACUUAAUCAUACCUAAGUUUGACAUGUAUUUCCCCCCGAAAGUUGUAAACCGAAACGUUGAAAGAAAAGGGGGGACAUGAUCUCACUGAGUUGUCUCGUUUUUCGUACGCAGGCCAACCCAGUCCCGUUGUUGUAACUAGGACAUUCUCGUCUCUAGUCAUGAAAAUCAUGCACGUUUGCGAAAAUACGCGUUUGUUUUGUAAAACCGGUAUGUUUAGUA
rnacentral:lncRNA from 1 species